UAUACGACCGUACCGCAAACCGACACUGGUGCGCGAGAUGAGUAUUCUAAGGCGCUUGAGAGAACUCAGGAGAAGGAACUCGGCAAAUUGACACCGUAACUUCGGAAGAAGGUGUGCCCUAUUAGUGUGAAGUGAACAACGGAGCAUGAAUGGGUUGCAAAAAAUCGGUGGCUGCGACUGUUUAUUAAAAACACAGCACUCUGCAAACACGAAAGUGGACGUAUAGGGUGUGACGCCUGCCCGGUGCUGGAAGAUUAAAUGAUGGGGUGCAAGCUCUUGAUUGAAGUCCCAGUAAACGGCGGCCGUAACAAUAACGGUCCUAAGGUAGCGAAAUUCCUUGUCGGGUAAGUUCCGACCUGCACGAAUGGCGUAACGAUGGCCACACUGUCUCCUCCUGAGACUCAGCGAAGUUGAAAUGUUUGUGAUGAUGCAAUCUCCCCGCGGAAAGACGGAAAGACCCCAUGAACCUUUACUGUAGCUUUGUAUUGGACUUUGAACAGAUCUGUGUAGGAUAGGUGGGAGGCUUUGAAGCAGGGUCGCUAGAUCUUGUGGAGCCAACGUUGAAAUACCACCCUGGUGUGUUUGAGGUUCUAACCUGGGUCCAUUAUCUGGAUCGGGGACAGUGCAUGGUAGGCAGUUUGACUGGGGCGGUCUCCUCCCAAAGCGUAACGGAGGAGUUCGAAGGUACGCUAGUUACGGUCGGACAUCGUGACGAUAGUGCAAUGGCAUAAGCGUGCUUAACUGCGAGACUGACAAGUCGAGCAGAUGCGAAAGCAGGACAUAGUGAUCCGGUGGUUCUGUAUGGAAGGGCCAUCGCUCAACGGAUAAAAGGUACUCUGGGGAUAACAGGCUGAUACCGCCCAAGAGUUCAUAUCGACGGCGGUGUUUGGCACCUCGAUGUCGGCUCAUCUCAUCCUGGGGCUGUAGCCGGUCCCAAGGGUAUGGCUAUUCGCCAUUUAAAGAGGUACGUGAGCUGGGUUUAAAACGUCGUGAGACAGUUUGGUCCCUAUCUUCCGUGGGCGCUGCAGAUUUGAGGAAGCCUGCUCCUAGUACGAGAGGACCGGAGUGGACACACCUCUGGUGUAUCGGUUGUCACGCCAGUGGCAUUGCCGAGUAGCUAAGUGUGGAAGAGAUAAACGCUGAAAGCAUCUAAGCGUGAAACUCGUUUCAAGAUGAGAUCUGCCGGGGCCUUGAGCCCCCUGAAGAGUCGUUCAAGACCAGGACGUUGAUAGGUCAGGUGUGGAAGCGCAGUAAUGCGUUAAGCUAACUGAUACUAAUUGCUCGUGCGGCUUGACCU
rnacentral:rRNA from 1 species